UUUAGAUACUCUCCCUCUCUCAAACUCUCUCAAAGGUUCCACAGAACCCUAGCCUCUCUCAUCCUCUCCGACCACAACCUCACCGGAAUCCAUGGCUUCUCAGGUCACGGAUGGCCUGUACUCACCUCCCACCACUCUUAAAUGUUUGGGGUUCGAAGCAUUGAGGUCUGACCUCAAUGGUGUCCGUCCAGAUCCUCUCAGAUCUAUGGUUUUGAGGCCUCUCCGGCUUCGCUCCAUCAUAUCCCAAGCAUUUCGAGCCUGGUUCUAACUCAUUCGACUAAAUAUCGGACUUUUUUCCAAGCCUUUCUCAUUUUCUAGGGUUUCAGAUUAACCCUAGCUAUUCGAGGGUUUUCUCUGUUUGUUUUCAUAGAUUUAUGCUAUAUCUGUGUUCUAUUGGAGUUUUAAAACGUUUUCCCCAAUCUUUUCUUUCAAAAUUUAUUUUUCUACAAUUUUGGGUUUCUGAAAAGGUUUAAAAUAUUUCUCCGAAUCUUUUUCUUCGUGUGUAUAUGUCUAUGCUAUGUUUGUAUGCUCUCUUUUUCUACCUAAAAUAUUCUUCUCCUGUAUCUUUAUGUUUGCCUUGUUAUGCAUGUUCUUCUGUUGUGCUCCGUUCUUUCUUCUACUAGUUUCUAUAUCAUGCUUUCACAUGUUUAUCUUAUGAGUUCAUUUACCCCUGUGUUCCUUUACUGUAUUUUCUACUGAGCUUUUAAUUCUUUAUUUGCCUUCUUCUAGACUUUGUUUGAAUUGUUUGAUUAAACAUGUUUCUUCUACUGUUAUCUUAAGUGUUAUACCAUCUCGUUUCUCUUUUGAACUUGUUUAAGUUCCAAAAUUUCUUAAAAUAUGUUCUUUAUGCUUCAAAUCAGCUUUCUCACUUUGUGGUUUCAAACUUGCUAUUACAUCUGUUUGUUUUCUCAUGAGACUCUGAAAGAGAUCUCUAAGCCUGAUUCAAUUAUUUUAUUCUUCAUCUAUGCGUCUUACUCGAGUCGAAAACCCUAGGAUUUCGGGGUUUUUGGCGAGUUUUGAUUUUAUGUUUGAGACUAAGGUUCUAUUUUAAAACUCUAGGUUUCUCAUACUCGUCUUGAGUCUUUGUACUGAACUCGAACUUCUUUGACUCUGAACUUUUCUAUGCUAGGCUUUUCUAAUUAGCAUGACAACUCUUUCUUGAUUCACAUGUUUGUAUACUUUAUAUAUGAUGAAUUCUUUCUUCAAAAAAGAUUUUGCCAAUUUGUGAUUGAUUCAUAAUUCCUUUUAAUACGGAUCGACUGAUUGUUACUGAUUUCCUUUAAUUAAACCUU
rnacentral:lncRNA from 1 species